GGCCACCUAAAGGGGACCUGGGCCAGCCAGCAGCAGGGGCCGUCAUGCACCUUAAUCUGUUUCAAGGCCUCAGAGCCUGGCUCGCACUAGUCCUUUAUCCUGGGAUACAGCUGCCUUGCCUUUUCCUUGCUGCUCUCACCUCCUCCAGGAGGCUUUCCCUAACUAGCCGGCUACAGCCUCCCUUGCUGUGCUGGCAGACAACCUUGUGCAACUCUCUCCCGGCUCAGCAUUAACCACAUUGUCCUGGAAGUAACUGUUUAUUUACCCGGCCUUCAUCCGCGGAAUAGAAGCUCACCAACGCAGGAACCAUGCCCUGUUCAGCUUUUUCGCCCCAGGCACUUAGCAGAGUGCCAAGCAGAGCAAGCCUAAGUAAAUAUCUGGUGACCUGAACACCAGGGGCCAUGGGGCGCUGGCCUCAGGGUGGUGAGGUGCAAGGAGAACAAGACAGAAGAUGUGAAGGAGAAAGACCUAGAUUCCGGGACCUCAGCCCAGAAGCUCCUACACCCUCGCUGGUGACAGGAAGUUACCCAAGUGGCAAAACUCACUGGGGAGCUUGCCUGGGGGCUGCCCUGGGCCAAGUUUCAUUACCAGCUAUUUUUAUUUUUAGCCUUCAUCAUCUCUCAGAGUAACCAGGUCUAUAAAUGUCCAUACAAUUCGCUGCGCCUGGGCCUAGGGCAGAAGGGAGAAGCUAAAAAGGAUUGUGCUAGGCCUUGUGCUGGGCACUUUGCUGCCCUUGAUUGGCAGAUGCCUGGAUCUCGGGUGUCCCCGGUUACCUCCUAGGUUACUCACUUUGAUUCUCGGGGCAUCCCACCAUUUCCACCACCCCUCAUCAGCUCUCCUCCCACUAGGUUUUAGAAAGAGGGUCCCUGAGCACAGGUCAGUCAAUAGGUGUCAGCAGGCAGAUCCUAGCCAACCCAUGUCCCACACAAGCCCACAGGAUGGGUUAUCUGAGGCCAAUGUUUUGGGGAAUGAGAGGGCAGUCUCAGGCCUGGGGCUGGCUGGGGCUGGUGGACUCACUCAUGUGCUCCUCUCUCUUCUGGCUCCUCUGCGCUCUGCCGGGCAGCUGCUUCCAGGCUGGGCUGCUUCUAACGUGUGUCUGGGCUCCCAAGCACCCAGCACACACCCUCUCGUUCUGCUAUUGUUCCUGUAGAGUGGGGAAAGAGAGCUUGGGCUCUGCAGUCAGGCAGCUGAGCAACUGAGGGACCUCAGUUUCCUCCCCUGGAAAAAUGGGAAGAAAAACAAUAGGCCUUACUCCCAGGGUGGCUGCCCUGAGAUGAGGUAUACAAAGCUGAGGACCUUGCCUUG
rnacentral:lncRNA from 1 species